rnacentral:rRNA from 1 species
AGGACGAACGCUGGCGGCGUGCUUAACACAUGCAAGUCGAGCGGAAAGGCCCUUCGGGGUACUCGAGCGGCGAACGGGUGAGUAACACGUGAGUAAUCUGCCCCUAGCUCUGGGAUAGCUCCGGGAAACCGGGAUUAAUACCGGAUACGACCACCUUAGACAUCUUUUGUGGUGGAAAGAAUUUCGGCUAGGGAUGAGCUCGCGGCCUAUCAGCUUGUUGGUGGGGUAACGGCCUACCAAGGCGACGACGGGUAGCCGGCCUGAGAGGGCGACCGGCCACACUGGGACUGAGACACGGCCCAGACUCCUACGGGAGGCAGCAGUGGGGAUAUUGCGCAAUGGGCGAAAGCCUGACGCAGCGACGCCGCGUGGGGGAUGAAGGCCUUCGGGUUGUAAACCCCUUUCAGCAGGGACGAAGCGAAAGUGACGGUACCUGCAGAAGAAGCGCCGGCUAACUACGUGCCAGCAGCCGC